rnacentral:rRNA from 1 species
GACGAACCGUGCGAACGUUGUUCGGAAUCACUGGGCGUAAAGCGUGCGUAGGUGGAUUGUUAAGUGCGAUGCGAAAUCCUGUGGCUCAACCAUAUGGACUGUAUCGCAUACUGGCUAUCUUGAGGACAUGAGAGGCAAGUGGAAGUUACUGGUGUAGCAGUGAAAUGCUGAGAGAGAUCAGUAGGAACACCAAAGUGGCGAAGGCAUGCU